CCUUGCCGUUUAACAUUAAUAUCCAAACAUUCCCCUCGUCACUUCGGCGCUUAUGCUAUGACUGCAAACACCAGGACAUCAGACUGAAACGUACGCCUGGAUCUCUCGGAGUUGAAGAACCUAAAGGAGCCUAUCAGUCAAAACUGUUCCUGCAGGGAGGGGAGCUCCUGGGAAAGUUGAGGUUCCUCUGGAAGAGGUUAGUGGGACCAACAGGAGGACCUCACCCAGUGGCAUGUGUGGUCCAUUAUAGUAAUGGGGACACUAUACUGUAAAAAGGUGCCAUCCUUCAGAUUAGAUGUAAAAUGAGGUCCUGACUCUCCUUGGCCAUUGAAAAUCCCAGGGCAUUCCUUGAAAAGAGUAGGGGUGUUACCCUGGUGCCCUGGCCAAAUCCCCCCCUGGGCUUUACCAGUCAUGGCCUUCUAAUAACAAGGAGGGUGCUUCCCUUUGGCCAAAUAUACAAUAAACUCCUUUUCUGCUCAGCAAAAAGGUCUCCAGUGGAUUUUUACCCUACACUGUAAAGAGAUAAAGCAACUCCAGCAAGUCCUGAUCUCAAAUGCGUGGCUGCUUAGUUUGCAGACAGCGCAAGCGUGAAGGCCUAAAAUGCACCCGCGCGUCGGUCACCUUCUUUUCCUGAUCACGACAUCAAAGCAAA
rnacentral:lncRNA from 1 species